rnacentral:rRNA from 1 species
GCGGCUUGGGCGAGCGGCGGGGGCGCAGCGACGGCGCGACUCUUCUAUUCCGUCUCAGGGGAGCCGAAGCAGUCGAGGGGAAGGGGGUGGUCUAUAAAAGGGGUGAGGACGCGGGGAGGGAGAGAAGGGGGUCUAGGUGGCGCUGACACCGGCACUUGCGGCCACGGGUGCGCGGAGUGGCACGAGAUGCUCGUACAGGCGAUCCACGCCGCGGCAGGAGACGAAGCUGAGGCCGGCGACCUUGGUCAGCCCUCGCUGGCGCAGGAGCCCUUGCUGGAGCUGGUGCGGAAGGAGCGGCCUCGACGCGUCUCGGUGAGGCAGUGGGAGUACGCGAUGAUUUGAGAGUGUCCGGAAGAACUCGGCGGGCUACUGCCUAGGGUCCUCAGUCUGCUGCGGUGGCUACUGAUGAUGAUGGGCCUCCUACGGAUGAUGACGAACUUCUGGUGACUGCUAAACCUCAUCAAUCCUCCGAGGGUCCGUCCUCCGGAACGGAAAAGCUAACAACAACGAAAACACGAUCGGAAGAAUUCUGUUAGAACAAAUUGAGUACAGACAUGAGUCUAUAACAACGAAGGCGACUGAGAACACAUAAGCUCGAAUACAUAAGCUCGGAAACUCAGGGG